UACGUAGGUGGCAAGCGUUGUCCGGAAUUAUUGGGCGUAAAGCGCGCGCAGGCGGUCCUUUAAGUCCGAUGUGAAAGCCCACGGCUCAACCGUGGAGGGUCAUUGGAAACUGGGGAACUUGAGUGCAGAAGAGGAAAGUGGAAUUCCAAGUGUAGCGGUGAAAUGCGUAGAGAUUUGGAGGAACACCAGUGGCGAAGGCGACUUUCUGGUCUGUAACUGACACUGAGGCGCGAAAGCGUGGGGAGCAAACAGG
rnacentral:rRNA from 1 species